UACGGAGGGUGCAAGCGUUAAUCGGAAUUACUGGGCGUAAAGCGCACGCAGGCGGUCUGUCAAGUCGGAUGUGAAAUCCCCGGGCUCAACCUGGGAACUGCAUCCGAAACUGGCAGGCUAGAGUCUUGUAGAGGGGGGUAGAAUUCCAGGUGUAGCGGUGAAAUGCGUAGAGAUCUGGAGGAAUACCGGUGGCGAAGGCGGCCCCCUGGACAAAGACUGACGCUCAGGUGCGAAAGCGUGGGGAGCAAACAGGAUUAGAUACCCUGGUAGUCCACGCCGUAAAAGAUGUCGACUUGGAGGUUGUGGCCUUGAGGCGUGGGUGGCGGAGCUAACGCGUUAAGUCGACCGCCUGGGGAGUACGGCCGCAAGGGUAAA
rnacentral:rRNA from 1 species